AACGCGAAGAACCUUACCAAGGCUUGACAUCCCAGGAACCUCCGAGAAACCGGGGGGUGCCUUCGGGAACCUGGUGACAGGUGCUGCAUGGCCGUCGUCAGCUCGUGUCGUGAGAUGUUGGGUUAAGUCCCGCAACGAGCGCAACCCUUGUCGUAUGUUGUAUUUUUCAUACGAGACUGCCCGGGCCAACCGGGAGGAAGGUGAGGAUGACGUCAGGUCAGCAUGGCCCUUACGCCUUGGGCUACACACGUCAUACAAUGGCCGGUACAACGCGCUCGCCAACCCGCGAGGGGGAGCCAAUCGCACCAAAACCGGUCUCAGUUCGGAUUGGAGGCUGCAACUCGCCUCCAUGAAGUCGGAAUCGCUAGUAACCGUGGGUCAGCAUACCGCGGUGAAUACGUUCCCGGGCCUUGUACACACCGCACGA
rnacentral:rRNA from 1 species